UAAUGGUGCUUGCCGAUUGAUUCAGGACAAGGAAGCAGGUGCAAAGCCUGCGCAGGACCGCUGCCGUAUGCAGCACAGCCCGCCUUCCGAACGGUCACUUCCGCAGAGUGGCCGGGAUGAGAUGACCAUUGCGGCCGGUCGGCCGUGAGAAGGUUGGGAAAAUGGGCGCUGCGAGCCGAAAGACUUGCCUGACCGGA
rnacentral:ncRNA from 1 species